AUUGCAAAUGAUGAUAACAAGACAGGGACAUCAGAACUCCAGUUUUGGAGUAGGGAUUGACCAAGUCUAUAAUGGGAAUCUCUUUGAUGCAAU